GUGGCCUAGUGGUUAGAGCUUCCGCCUCGGAUGCGGGAGGUCGUGGGUUCGAUCCCCGGUCAAGUCA